rnacentral:lncRNA from 1 species
UAGAGUUUGAUUUAAGGUUUAGUUUAGGGUUUAGGAUUUGGAUUAGAGUUUAGGAUUGGAUUAGGGUUUGGAUUAGGGUUUGGAUUAGGGUUUAGGAUUUGGUUAGGAUUUGAUUUAGGGUUUGGAUUAGAAUUUGGUUAGGAUUUGAUUUAAGGUUUGGUUUAGGGUUUAAGAUUUGGAUUAGAGUUUAGGGUUGGAUUAGGGUUUGGAUUAGGGUUUGGAUUAGUAUUUGGAGUUUGGUUAGGAUUCGAUUUAGGAUUUGGAUUAGGAUUUGGUUAGGAUUUGAUUUAAGGUUUGGAUUAGGGUUUAGGGUUUGGUUAGGGUUUGAUUUAGGGUUUGGAUUAGGAUUUGGUUAGGAUUUGAUUUAAGGUUUGGUUUAGGGUUUAGGGUUCGAUUAAGAUUUGGUUUAGGAUUUGAUUUAGAGUUUGGUUUAGGGUUUAGGGUUUGAAACAAGGUUUAAUUUAAGAUUUGUUUAGGAUUUGACUUAGGGUUUAGGAAUUAUUAGGGUUUAAGAUUUAAUUAGGUUUGGUCUAAAGUUGAGUGAAAUUCAAUAGGGUUUUAACUAGAAUUAAAUUAAGGUAAAUUGACAUAUAUUUGAGUAGAAUUUGUGAUCAUUCU